rnacentral:rRNA from 1 species
ACGCUAAUACCGCAUACGUCCUACGGGAGAAAGCAGGGGACCUUCGGGCCUUGCGCUAUCAGAUGAGCCUAGGUCGGAUUAGCUAGUUGGUGAGGUAAAGGCUCACCAAGGCGACGAUCCGUAACUGGUCUGAGAGGAUGAUCAGUCACACUGGAACUGAGACACGGUCCAGACUCCUACGGGAGGCAGCAGUGGGGAAUAUUGGACAAUGGGCGAAAGCCUGAUCCAGCCAUGCCGCGUGUGUGAAGAAGGUCUUCGGAUUGUAAAGCACUUUAAGUUGGGAGGAAGGGUUGUAAGUUAAUACCUUGCUGUUUUGACGUUACCGACAGAAUAAGCACCGGCUAACUUCGUGCCAGCAGCCGCGGUAAUACGAAGGGUGCAAGCGUUAAUCGGAAUUACUGGGCGUAAAGCGCGCGUAGGUGGUUCAGCAAGUUGGAUGUGAAAGCCCCGGGCUCAACCUGGGAACUGCAUCCAAAACUACUGAGCUAGAGUA